AGAACUGUUCCAGAAGGCUCCCUGUUGUGAGGUAAUAACCCUUUAGUGGUGGUUUGGGGAAGGUCUAGCGAGGGGUUCUUGUGGGAAAACCCAGGUGACUCUGGUGGUAAGGGCUCAGGAUAAUGGCUCUUUACAAGUAUUUAUUUUAAUAACAGCUAUAUUGUUAUAAACUGCUGAACGUCAGCCUUACUUUCCUGGAAGAAAUGAAAUAAAUGAAUCGACGAUUGACUUAUCCUCCGAGGGAUAAUCAGGUUGUCCGGAGUUCCGCAGAAAUCCACAGAAGCUUCUAAAGCCUCCAUGACGCCCACUGAUCAGAAAAAAGGUGACCAUGGAGAGGGACCCAACGGCCAUCGACUGAUGAAUGGACAGAGAAGAUGUGGUAUAUAAAUACAGUGGACUCUAAGUCAUCAAAAAAGAACGAAAGCGUGCCAUUUGCAACGAUGUGGAUGGAGCCAGUGUACUAUGCUAAGCCAAGCAUACAGUCAUUUUGAAUAAGCUGCGAACAAAAACAGACCCAAAACCAACCAACCAACGACGACAACCACCACCACCGCCCCCCUCGGGUACUUAAAUCGAGCACGUGACUGUUGUAAGUUUACGGUCACCCCUAGAUUACUCUUGUUGAAUAUGAACGUUAGGUCACAGACGGACAAAUUCACAUGUUGGCUAAAAGCACCACAUUUUCAGAGUCAAACUGUGGUAGUGUAUUUCCAAAACUGGUCACAGCACUCCCAACCCCAUCCCUUAAGUCCUUUUGCAGGACGAGCAUACUACCCCUCCGUCCAAAGAGACUGUUGAGUGUAUUUCUCCUCCCCUUGAAUCUGGGCUGACCCUGUGAUUUGCUCUGGCCAACGGAUGUGGUGAAAAUGACGGCUGUGUGAUUGCCAGGUCCGGCUCUCCAAAGAUCAUGCGGCUUCUGUCUCUGCCCCAGGCCUCCAUGUAGUCAGCACGGGGGACUUUAUCGGACAGAGGCUACGUGGAGAGCACCUCAGCGGACAGACAGGACCAAGGCCCCAGGCUAUACGUGAAGCCUUACUGGAUCCUCACAGAUAACCUGUUAUACCCAGACAACCUCAACGGAAGUAGAGACAAGCUGUACCUGGCUGAAUCCUGCCUGAAUUUCUCAUGCACAGAAUCAUGAACAAUAAAAUGGUUCAUGUUUUCAGCCCCUAUGUUUGGGUGAGGUUGUACAGCAACAGAAACAGUGGCUAGCCCACUCUAGGAGAACCACUUCGAGCAAGGAUUCAUAACUCAGGCAGUAUUUGGAGGGUCUAUACUUCUGAGCCUUAUCGGGGAAUGGAAUCCGUCGUUUUCCUCUGAUUCUUAAUGGAGUCUUUGUCUCCAAGAGGACUAAGAAGCACCGAUUUAUGGGUCAUUCAAAGUGAAACACCAUCGCCAACAAAGGUUUUCAUUUUGUUUAUGAAAAUAAUACAUGCUGUGCUAGUAAAAGAAUAAGAGUACAAAAGUAUAUUCAAUAAAAGACUGUCCCAAAAGCACGGGAAAAAAAUUGGUGUGUAUCCUCCCAAAGUACAUAAAUACUAUGAAUCAAUUUGGAGAAAUUAAAAUGGUAU